GGAAACGGCCAGAGAUGGUCGCCCCCUUGUGGUCGGUGUACAGGUGGUGCAUGGCUGUCGUCAGCUCGUGUCGUGAGAUGUUGGGUUAAGUCCCGCAACGAGCGCAACCCUUGUUCUGUGUUGCCAGCAUGCCCUUCGGGGUGAUGGGGACUCACAGGAGACUGCCGGGGUCAACUCGGAGGAAGGUGGGGACGACGUCAAGUCAUCAUGCCCCUUAUGUCUUGGGCUGCACACGUGCUACAAUGGCAGGUACAAAGAGCUGCGAAGCCGUGAGGCGGAGCGAAUACUCAANAANCCUGUCUCAGUUCGGAUUGGGGUCUGCAACUCGACCCCAUGAAG
rnacentral:rRNA from 1 species